GGCGCCGUGGCCGAGUGGCUGAGGCACGGGUCUGCAAAACCCGUUACACCGGUUCGAUUCCGGUCGGCGCCUC
rnacentral:tRNA from 1 species